CCGCCAUUACGCCUUCAUUGUUCGACUUGCAUGGGUUGCUACGCGAUCAGUAUUACAAAUGGGAUGCACAGGAGACGCUUGAAGUUUGAUGCAAUUCAGUGAAAUUCACUGGUCAUUUAAAAGAGUCAUAUAAUUUAUAUAUAAGAGCUGUAAGAGUUACAUUGUUUCUCAGAUACGUCGAGUCAUAGAAGAAUUAGGGUCUUCAAAAAUAAGAGAUGUUCGCUCGGAACUAAUUAAAGGUGUGGACACCUUAGGCUGAAGGACACCUCGAGUCCGAGCAUAUUUCUCCAGAGAACAUAUUUCAAAUCCUCAUCCCAAAGCCUGCGUCCUAGCACAGGGAUCGAUCUUAUACUUUUUCUCUGGAGAGGAGGGUACCAAACGCUCUAGGUUUUCCAGGUCAAGUUGUAAGAUUUAGCAUGUAAUUUACAUAUGUAUAUAUGUAUAGAAGACACAAAAAAUUGAUAGAAGUUUUUUUAUCAACAUAUAUAUAGCUUCCAAACAGGUCUUUCUGGAGAUAAGAGGCAAGCAUGCCAUGCCCUGUCGUAAUAAGCUGGGACGACAUUUACGGUUGGUAAUUGUUGUUGAGAGACAAUUAAAAUUAUUAUCGACGCCUAAGAGAUUGUUUUACGGCGAAACGAUUAGCGUAGAGUGUUUUGGAGGGAAAACUGAAAACUCGGUCAAAUGUGUCGAUGAUAGGAGGUUGUACGUGAACAUUAUCGAUUGCUGGGUAAUAAACGCGCCUUUUUCUCUCGUUGGAGAGACGGUAUCACUCAGCGUGGUUGUAAUUAAAAUCAGUCGUGCCAUAAACAGACGAAAUGCUUGAAUUAAUCACGGCUAGCUGACCUGGGAAAUGAGGAACGUCUCACUCGGCCAUUAAUUUUUUGCCAGCUGGCUUCGAUUCGAAACGGGGAUUCGCUCUAGGGCGUAAAUUACCCGCUAUUCAUCUUUCCCUGUUCGAAAAAACAUUUGUUCAGCAUGAUGACUAUUUUGGAGUAAACGAAAUUAAAAUUUAUUAACAUUAAACCUACCGACGUUUCAUUCGCACUUUACUGUGAUCGGGCGCAUGAACUUUUUCAAUUAAAUUCAAAAAUAUUUUCCGUGAAAUUAAAUUGAAUAACGCAUGAAACAAUCGGAAAUAAUUUCUAUAUCGCGCAUUGGAACUGUAUACAAAAGUUUGGAAACGGUCAUUUGACAGUGGUAGAGAGUGCUAAUUAGACAAAAUAAAUUAGGCCUGUACAAAUGUACUUUCUAAGAGUCUACUCGCGAACGUAAAUGUACUUCACCAUCUUUUCUUUUUCUCUCCCCGUGUACGAAAGUUUUGAAAAUCUGAAUCCUUCGGUUUGUCAACGCAAAUCACGGAUCGGCUGUGGCGGUAGCCCCUUAUUUCACGUUUUCCGAUUCUGAAAUAUGUAACGGGUAGGCACAAAGGUAUGAUUCCCAUCAAUUUCUCGGGAUAGAGGGAGGUAGGAAUGUCCUUUGGGAAAUCGAACGGAUGGAAACAGUUCAAUGUGUUCGGGUUGGGUGCGCACUAAUAUCAUCUCCCGGCGCUCGCAUCAAAUAGGGAUGGAAUUUUUCGAAUUUCUUCGGUAAUUAAUUAGUUGAUCGUUCGCUUGGUAAUUCAUUAGAAGAAAUCGAUUUCUCGUCAUUCGAACUGUGUUUUAAAGCGCUAUCAUAGAACCAACAGUUCGAGUAACAGAACAAGCUCUAAAACAGACUUCUGUACUGGUCGAAGCUCGAUCGAACAGUUAAUUAAAGAUUGCAUAAAAAUAUUACGCAAUCGAACACGAGGACGCCGAAACUCUUUCGAAUAACCCAACACGUGACUGAAAAUAAAAUGUUUAUUCGAUAAUUGAUCAAUCGAUAGAAGAAAGUUCCUCGAGGGAGUCUGCAGACUCGGAUUCGUAAUUAACUUUGCUUUACAAGUUUCUAGAACGUCUUACGCGCCGAGAGCGCAAACACCACCUGUUGCAACGCGAAACGCAUUCCGUAUUUCUGCCUCGAGCCAAGAAAAUCGCAUCUCGCGGGAAAAUUAUGAUCUCGUUGUUCGUAGCGGUUGAACGCUUUUACCUAACUGAUCGUCGACGAACUUUAUUCUGUUACAAGUGGACGGGCUGAAUGUAUCUUUAAAUACAUUCGGAACACAGGAAACGAAAUCUAAAUUUACGUUCAGGGCAAAAGGAAGCGGAAUCCUCGAAAAGUGCAAACACGAGAGAGACAAGCACCGGAAGUUUUACUGGCAACGAAGGAGCCAUGGGGUCGGGGACAAGUCCAUCGACUUCUGAACACGAAUCUGAAGUCGGUUUUGAGGGCCUACGGUCAUCGUCGUCUCUUACCUAUGGCAGUUUUAGUGCGUACGGUCCGCGAGUAUCCCAUGGGAUGCAGUAUCGCCCAGUAACGAUCCACGGACACCGCCACCAGGCAGAAGAUACUGAUCGUGCAGAG